ensembl:snoRNA
ACCCUUUUGUGGUUCAUCAGUGUGGUGGUUCAGUUUUCACACUCAUGUGUGAGACGUGCCUCCCUCCAACCUUGUUAUAGCACAAGCACAUUACCCAUCUGACA